ACAGUGAAGCAUGAAUGUGGUGGCCUAAUGGGUGUAGUAGUUGGUACUCACAUUUCUGUAGCUCCCUGGGUCGGCAUGCAAUGAUGGGAAGGAAGGCACCAGAUUCUUUCAGGGCACACUCUGGUGUUGAUGAAUCUCCUGCCAGAUGUUGGUUGAGGUGCCCUUGGUG